AACGAACGCUGGCGGCAUGCCUAACACAUGCAAGUCGAACGAGACCUUCGGGUCUAGUGGCGCACGGGUGCGUAACGCGUGGGAAUCUGCCCUUGGGUUCGGAAUAACAGUUAGAAAUGACUGCUAAUACCGGAUGAUGACUUCGGUCCAAAGAUUUAUCGCCCAGGGAUGAGCCCGCGUAGGAUUAGCUUGUUGGUGAGGUAAAAGCACACCAAGGCGACGAUCCUUAGCUGGGCUGAGAGGAUGAUCAGCCACACUGGGACUGAGACACGGCCCAGACUCCUACGGGAGGCAGCAGGGGGGAAUAUUGGACAAUGGGCGAAAGCCUGAUCCAGCAAUGCCGCGUGAGUGAUGAAGGCCUUAGGGUUGUAAAGCUCUUUUACCCGGGAUGAUAAUGACAGUACCGGGAGAAUAAGCCCCGGCUAACUCCGUGCCAGCCGCCGCGGUAAUAC
rnacentral:rRNA from 1 species